rnacentral:rRNA from 1 species
AGAGUUUGAUCCUGGCUCAGAUUGAACGCUGGCGGCAGGCCUAACACAUGCAAGUCGAACGGUAACAGGAAGAAGCUUGCUUCUUUGCUGACGAGUGGCGGACGGGUGAGUAAUGUCUGGGAAACUGCCUGAUGGAGGGGGAUAACUACUGGAAACGGUAGCUAAUACCGCAUAACGUCGCAAGACCAAAGAGGGGGACCUUCGGGCCUCUUGCCAUCGGAUGUGCCCAGAUGGGAUUAGCUAGUAGGUGGGGUAACGGCUCACCUAGGCGACGAUCCCUAGCUGGUCUGAGAGGAUGACCAGCCACACUGGAACUGAGACACGGUCCAGACUCCUACGGGAGGCAGCAGAGGGGCGAAUU